rnacentral:rRNA from 1 species
UACGGAGGGUGCAAGCGUUAAUCGGAAUUACUGGGCGUAAAGCGUGCGCAGGCGGUUUGUUAAGUCUGUUGUGAAAUCCCCGAGCUCAACUUGGGAAUUGCAAUGGAUACUGGCAGGCUGGAGUGUGGUAGAGGAAGGUGGAAUUCCCGGUGUAGCAGUGAAAUGCGUAGAGAUCGGGAGGAACACCAGUGGCGAAGGCGGCCUUCUGGACCAAUACUGACGCUCAUGCACGAAAGCGUGGGGAGCAAACAGG